UACGUAGGGUGCAAGCGUUUGUCCGGAAUUAUUGGGCGUAAAGAGCUUGUAGGCGGUCUGUCGCGUCUGCUGUGAAAAUCCGGGGCUCAACCCGGACUUGCAGUGGGUACGGGCAGACUAGAGUGUGGUAGGGGAGACUGGAAUUCCUGGUGUAGCGGUGAAAUGCGCAGAUAUCAGGAGGAACACCGAUGGCGAAGGCAGGUCUCUGGGCCAUAACUGACGCUGAGAAGCGAAAGCAUGGGGAGCGAACAGG
rnacentral:rRNA from 1 species